rnacentral:rRNA from 1 species
ACAGAGGGUGCGAGCGUUGUCCGGAAUCACUGGGCGUAAAGGGCGCGUAGGCGGCUUGAUAAGCGUGCGGUGAAAGCCCGGGGCUCAACCCCGGGUCGGCCGUGCGAACUGUCGAGCUGGAGCACUGUAGAGGCAGGUGGAAUUCCGGGUGUAGCGGUGAAAUGCGCAGAUAUCAGGAGGAACACCAAUGGCGAAGGCAGCUCGCUGGGACGGUACUGACGCUGAGGCGCGAAAGCGUGGGGAGCAAACAGGA